CGGCCUAGGAGGGACUUCCUCCUCUUUCGGCCCCGCCUCCUGGCUCGGGAAUCUCUGUUGGGCGGGGAAGUCUCGCGAGCUUUCCUCCCUGCUCCGCGAGAAAUUGUCUGUAGAAGGUUGAUGGAGCAGUGGUGUUUGUUGCUGAACUGUUUUCCGGAUUUGUAGGGCGGAUGUUGAAUGGCGGGUUGUCAACUCUGGACUUGCUGUCAACUGACCAGAGCCAGGCUGGGAAGUCCGAAUGCGUGGACAGGUCUAGGGCGAAGCCAAGUGUAGGGACUCAUUCUGUCAGCCCGAAAAGGGCUGGGGGCGGGGGUUGAGGGUGUUUGAGUCUUAUGUGAAGUCGAGCCCCUCACCCAUUAAAAUCCGUUAUAGAAUCUGCGAGACUUCAUCCGGGAAAGUGUUCCAUGGCCACGGUGAGCAGUGGGCGAUCUUAAUGUUCCACAAACGCGUUGACAGUUCUUAUUUCCCGCCAAAGCGUUCUUCCGUUAGCCUCUUAGCACGGACCAUUAAAAGGCUCGGAGAGAAACCGGCCGCAGCGACGAGGCAAGCGCAGGCGGGCAGCCUCACAGUCCUCGUGUGCCGCAAGAACGAAGGGUUCCUGGCGUUCAGUUAACGUCGCUCGCCCGAAGGCCGUGGCUCCCAGUGUAGUUCAGCUGCCUCUCCGUUCUCUUAUUUGGUCCCUCAGCUCAACCACUUGAAAGAUGAACAUGGGGAAGGUACACACGUUGGUCCCGCGGUGUAUUUUGGGAGUUGUAGUCAUCUUUAUGGUUGUCAAAGUGUGUUUAUGUUUUGGCGAGAUUAGUUAGGCGUGAACUCAUCACCAUACGUUUAAAGGGGUGUCUUAUGCACCUAGUCGCUUGAUUAAAAACGAUUUCAAAUUUUGAUCUAUCUUUGCUUUUUCAAAAAUGUAUAAAGGAUCAAGAAAGUAUAAAGGAUCAAGAAAAUUAGCCUGGUCUGCAGCCAUUCAUCUGUAAAGACUGCACAUAGAAAAACAGACAGGAGCAUCUCUUUGAGGACCAGGCCAGCCUAUGGAUCCUGCUGAGGACAGAAGAGGUUGCCGGUUCCCUUGGAACUGCAGUUUACUGGUAGUUGCCAUAAACUACCACUGUAAGCCACCACAUGGGUGCUGGGAACCCAGUCCUAACUGCUGAGCCAUCUCUCCAGCCCAUUUCUAAGUUUUGACUGCUGUUUGCCAAACUAUGGACAUUACAUACAUUGAAUCUUAUGCUCGAGGUUUUGAAAUCGUUUUGCUCAUUGUCUGCAAUAUUUCCCUCUUUGCCACUAGAAGAAAAAGCAACACAAUAAAAAUUGUAACUCCAUCAAUAUAAAUUUCUGCACCAUUUACGUGAAGAUACCUACACUGAUUCUGGCAGUCUCCACUUUUGGAAGGUGAGGAAGUGUAUUGGGUCACCGAGGCAAGUAUUUAUAAUUUACAGUGUAUUAUAAAUUUCUAGUCUUUUAGCUAAAAAUAACAACUUCAGCUGAUAUUUUUUGAUGUAAUUAUAUUGUUUCUGGCCUAUGAUUUUGACUUUUAUUAAAGCCAAUCUAGACAAAUCUUAUAUUCUGUACUAAUGAAAUAUAUAUGUGUAAAGUACUAACAGUUUUGAGACAUAAUU
rnacentral:sRNA from 1 species